rnacentral:rRNA from 1 species
AUAAUACCGGAUAUCGUGGGGCCCUGCAUAGGGCCUUGACAAGAGAUUUAUCGGCAGGGGAUGAGCUUGCGUCCGAUUAGCUAGCUGGCGGGGCAACGGCCCACCAAGGCGACGAUCGGUAGCCGGCCUGAGAGGGUGAUCGGCCACAUUGGGACUGAGAUACGGCCCAGACUCCUACGGGAGGCAGCAGUAGGGAAUAUUGCACAAUGGGGGAAACCCUGAUGCAGCAACGCCACGUGUGGGUAGAAGCAUUUCGGUGUGUAAACCACUGUCGUGAGGGAAUAAGGCUAUUUUUCGGAGUAGUUGAAUGUACCUCGAGAGGAAGCACCGGCAAACUUCGUGCCAGCAGCCGCGGUAAUACGAGGGGUGCAAGCGUUGUUCGGAAUCACUGGGCGUAAAGGGAGCGCAGGCGGAAGCUCAAGCGGAUUGUACAAUACCGGGGCCCAACCCCGGACCUGCAGUCCGAACUGGGUUUCUUGGAUAGUUCAGGGGCAAGCGGAAUUCCUGGNGUAGCGGUGGAAUGCGUAGAGAUCAGGAAGAACACCGAUGGCGAAGGCAGCCUGCUGGGGACUUAUCGACACUCAUGCUCGAAAGUGCGGGUAGCAAACAGGAUUAGAUACCCUGGUAGUCCGCACCGU